UCCAUUGACGUGCCCUGGCUGUUAUA
rnacentral:piRNA from 1 species